CCCUUCAUAAGAUGAGAGUUGUUAAGACAAUUGAACAGGAUUAUGAAAGGACAAUGGGAGGAUGUUUUCAUUUUUGUUUUUAAUUUUACUAAAUAUCGCUUAAAAUGUGCUCUCUUGAACAAGAUUUAAAACAUGCAUAAUCUGUCCUCAAGGACCGGGGAUGGAAAAAAGGCCUGGGGUAACUCUGGCCCGAACGAGCAGCUGUAGCUCCUUUGUGUUGUCUACCUCAGAGCCAAGUGGAGGAGACACCGAGAUAUUGUGACUGUAAACCCAGAGGCUUAUUCCACACUAUAUUUUUUCCAAAACUAUAGCAGUAGCCUGGGAACCUAUAUAAGAAUUUGAUUUCUGGUCUUCCCAUUCAACAAUUUUGCUACAUAACAAAUAAGUACUGAAUUCCAAGCUGAUGGCCCUGCCCUGCCACCCUCUGAGUUAUUGCUUAGUAACUAGCGUGGGCUUGUUCUGAUCCAGCCACAGCAACCACCUUAGGCAAAGACUGUGCAGUCAGUGUGCCCCUUCCCCUUGCCUUGGUGGUCCAUCUCUCCUCUUCUGAUACCCCCAGCCAUCAUUAUGCUGUCCUUGGUCCACGUAGAUCUUCUUAUCUCCAUGUCACAUGCAAGAUGUCAUCUUUUAAUUUGGACUUUCACGGCUUCCUUCUCCAAUAAUAUUUUAUUUGUUCCAUUUUCACCUCCUUUGGGGUCUUCUUCAAAGAUAAAUAAUGGAGAAGAAUGAAGCUCCCUGUAGCAAUUAAACCUAAGACUUUGGACUCAUUAGCGCGACUUUCUAAAGUGCUAAGCAGAAAGGCCAUAUUUAAGUCCAAUACAAACACCUGUCCUUACAUGCCCCAGCCCCCAUUGCAGGAGGAGGAAAUCGUGCUGGUGUGUUUAAAGGCUGAAAGUAAGGAAGGAAACCUUAAUCCAAGUAAAUUGAAAAUAAAUAUUAUUUUUCUCUAAGGCUGCACCAGCGUGAAAAAUCUCCUUUCAAGAAACAGACUUCGCUAUUAGUUCUCAAUGCACCAAAAAGUCAGCAGUGGUAGCUCCGCCUCCUCUCCUCCCCCAAAAGAAAUCUUCCUCGACUUACAAUGGAGUUACAUCCUGAUUUGCCCAUCAUACGUUGAAAAUAUCAAAUCACCAAGAAUAAGAGGAUUCAGUCAAAAUUUCUGAGACAAUCUCCUCUGGCUGAGCAAGAGGUGGUCCAAAAGCUUCUGCUUCUUUUGAGUUGCACUUAUGGUGUUGCUUUUUCUCACAGUCGACAGUGGAAGCAACAACGGGUAGGUGUGCUCCAGGAUGUGUGGUUUCAGUGGAUGCUCCUAAUGCAAGCAAAGAAGGGACUGUAAAUAAAGCAGACGUGCAGAUGCUACUACUGUGAGAAGCGCUGGGUCUUUUCCCUAAUGCUCAGUGAAUCCCCAUGACUCCAGGACACUCUUGACUUCCAGCCAAUACAUCACAGUCUUCCCCUGCAAUGGCUACAGAGAGAGGUUAAAAAAAAUAGCCCACAAGAGUGCUCUUUCCUUCUCUCUCUGCUCCUUCAGCUCCAAGAAUAGACUCAUUGACGAAGUGUGUCUCUGUGUGUCUGUCUGUUACCCCAUGAUGCAUGCUGCUUCUUAUCCUGUUCUUGGGCCUUUCCUAGA